UACGGGGGGGGCAAGCGUUGUUCGGAAUUACUGGGCGUAAAGGGCUUGUAGGCGGCCAACUAAGUCCGACGUGAAAUCCCCAGGCUUAACCUGGGAACUGCGUCGGAUACUGGAUGGCUUGAAUUCGGGAGAGGGAUGCAGAAUUCCAGGUGUAGCGGUGAAAUGCGUAGAUAUCUGGAGGAAUACCGGUGGCGAAGGCGGCAUCCUGGACCGACAUUGACGCUGAUGAGCGAAAGCUAGGGGAGCAAACGGG
rnacentral:rRNA from 1 species